AUGACUUUUUGAACAUUAUUAUAGGUACAUUACCAAAGACGAUAGGAGAAAUAACAGAUGCGAUAACAGCUUGCUUAGGUGGAAGAUAUCUAUGAUAUUUUUGUAAGUUGUUGGAAGCACCAGAAGCCGUGGGAUCUGAAUAAAGAGGUCGAACCAUAAAACGGCGAGGUCCAAUUUGAAGAAGAAGUUCUUCUUUGGAUUCAAUGGGCUCUUCAUAUUCAGAAUGCUGCAUUGCAGUAAAUUGAGAAACAGUCAGUUUAUUCUCAUAUUGUAGCAAAGAAUAAAGCACUAAAAGAUUCCAAGGCUUAUUAUAAUACUCGAAUAUUUCAAUCGGAACG